rnacentral:rRNA from 1 species
AUUGAACGCUGGCGGCAUGCCUUACACAUGCAAGUCGAACGGUAACGGGCCUUCGGGUGCCGACGAGUGGCGAACGGGUGAGUAAUACAUCGGAACGUGCCCGAUCGUGGGGGAUAACGAGGCGAAAGCUUUGCUAAUACCGCAUACGAUCUACGGAUGAAAGAAGGGGACCGCAAGGCCUUGCGCGGACGGAGCGGCCGAUGGCAGAUUAGGUAGUUGGUGGGAUAAAAGCUUACCAAGCCGACGAUCUGUAGCUGGUCUGAGAGGAUGAUCAGCCACACUGGGACUGAGACACGGCCCAGACUCCUACGGGAGGCAGCAGUGGGGAAUUUUGGACAAUGGGCGCAAGCCUGAUCCAGCCAUGCCGCGUGCAGGAUGAAGGCCUUCGGGUUGUAAACUGCUCUUGUACGGAACGAAAAGCCUUCUUUUAAUACAGGAGGGUCAUGACGGUACCGUAAGAAUAAGCACCGGCUAACUACGUG